rnacentral:rRNA from 1 species
GACAGAGGGGCCGAGCGUGAGGCGGAAUCACUGGGCUUAAAGCGUGUGUAGGCGGGCGGGCAAGUACCUUGUGAAAUCCCACGGCUCAACCGUGGAACGGCUGGGUAUACUGCCUGUCUUGAGCCAACUAGGGGCGAGCGGAACAGACGGUGGAGCGGUGAAAUGCGUAGAUAUCAGGAGGAACACCGGUGGCGAAGGCGGGUCUCUGGGCCGAUACUGACGCUGAGGAGCGAAAGCGUGGGGAGCGAACAGG